CAUAGUUACGCCUAAACGAUGACUGGCUUUACGUAAUGGCGGACGUUGGAGGAAGGUUCGAAUUUCAGAUGCAUCGUUCGUGACGCUAUGCCAUACACUGAAUUGUGUCUUAGGAACACAGAACAUCAUUCCUACAGCCUCACGGGACGCACUGACUGCCGAACUGCGAGUUUGUUCGUGUACCUUCGAAGACUCAUUCUUUCUACGACCUUGCAUACUCAGUGACAAACAGAAUUCAGUACUAAAACUCGUGGCAAACACCCGCCAUCUUAAACAAGACAAACCAGAACAAACGUCACGUGAAAAA